rnacentral:rRNA from 1 species
GCUCGUAGUUGGAUCUCGGCGGACAGAAGUCGGUCCGAAUGCUUUCGGUACUGGCUUGUUUGUCCGUGUGUUUUGCCAGAGGCAGGCGGGUGCUCUUCGCCGAGUGUCCGUCUGUGCUGGCAGGUUUACUUUGAAAAAAUUAGAGUGCUCAAAGCAAGCUCUCACGCUUGAAUAUUCGUGCAUGGAAUAAUAGAAUAGGAUGUCGUUUCUAUUUUGUUGGUUUUCGGAAAUCGACAUAAUGAUUAAUAGGGACAGUCGGGGGCAUUUGUAUUCAAACGACAGAGGUGAAAUUCUUGGACCGUUUGAAGACAAACUACUGCGAAAGCAUUUGCCAAGAAUGUUUUCAUUAAUCAAGAACGAAAGUUAGAGGUUCGAAGGCGAUUAGAUACCGCCCUAGUUCUAACCAUAAACGAUGCCAGCUAGCGAUCUGCAGGCGUUUUACUUUACGACCUUGCAGGGAGCUUCCGGGAAACCAAAGCUUGUGGGUUCCAGGGGAAGUAUGGUUGCAAAGCUGAAACUUAAAGGAAUUGACGGAAGGGCACCACCAGGAGUGGAGCCUGUGGCUUAAUUUGACUCAACACGGGAAAUCUCACCAGGCCCGGACACGAGAAGGAUUGACAGAUUGAUAGCUCUUUCUUGAUUUCGUGGGUGGUGGUGCAUGGCCGUUCUUAGUUGGUGGAGUGAUUUGUCUGGUUAAUUCCGAUAACGAACGAGACUCUGUCCUGCUAACUAGUGUCUGCUUCUUUUCUGAGCAGAUUAUUCUUCUUAGAGGGACUGGUAGCUCUUAGCUACACGAGAUUGAGCAAUAACAGGUCUGUGAUGCUCUUAGAUGUUCUGGGCCGCACACGCGCUACACUGAAUGGAUCAGCUAGUUAUUCUCUCUCCGAGAGGAGCGGGUAAACUGUUGAACCCCAUUCGUGGGUAGGGAUCGGAGCUUGCAAUUUGUUCUUCCGUGAACCAGGAAAUUCCCAGUAGGCGCAAGGUCAUAAGGCUUGCGUCGAUUAACGUCCCUUGCUCUUUUGUACACAACGCCCGGUCGCUACUAACGAAUUGGAGCCGUUUAAUUGAAGGUCCUCGAAACUGCUUGGUCUGGCGUUCAUCCCUGACCUCGCUAGGUGAGGACCUACUU